rnacentral:rRNA from 1 species
GAUGAACGCUGGCGGCGUGCCUAACACAUGCAAGUCGAACGAAGCACUUCGAUUUCCUCGGAAUGAAAAAGUGACUGAGUGGCGGACGGGUGAGUAACGCGUGGGUAACCCUGCCUCAGUACAGGGGGAUAACAGUUAGAAAUGGCUGCUAAUACCGCAUAAGCGCACAGUACCGCAUGGUACCGUGUGAAAAACUCCGGUGGUAUGAGAUGGACCCGCGUCUGAUUAGCUAGUUGGUAAGGUAACGGCUUACCAAGGCGACGAUCAGUAGCCGGCCUGAGAGGUGAUCGGCCACAUUGGGACUGAGACAC